UUAUUGACGAUGGUGGUCAUUGGAGGCAUAAAUAUUGAAGAAUAUAUCAUUUACAGACAAGAUCUUUGAAAUCUGUUUCCUUCAGACAGCAAAGGAAGAAGCGGCUUUAUCGCAACAAAACAGGCAAAGAAACAUAAAGACUUGAACAAACAGCACUUCUCUAAUUCUUUCCAAAAGUUCAGAGACCCACCAAAACCUUGUGGAUUACCUCCACCAGUCUUCCUGAUUUGAGAUGUAACGUGGGGUGCACAAGUUCCUUAGAUGAGGGGUGUAGUAAGACAAGGAGCCAGCCUCAAUGGACAUAGCCCCUUCUCGAGAUCUAAACAGGAGACUAUCUAAAGCAAAGCUGAAAGUGCAUCAAGAAUUUUAAGAAGCCUAAAGAUCCCCAAGGUAACGAGAAGCAAGACCAUGAGGAGUAAUGUAGCUUGGAAUGAACAAGAUGAACAUAUCCACCUUCAAUCUAAUGCUUAAUGAGGAAAAAGGCUGUUUUAUUGGCGCCAGGGAGUCAUGAAAGAAACUCAAGAAGACAACUUGGAUAAUGAACGGAAGAUAAAAAGAAAACAAAAAGAAUGUGGCAUAUAAAGGGUAUAAUACCUGGAGGUAUUAGAUCUGACUCAUAUUUAUAAAAAUGAGACGAGCUUUCACAAAAUACAAGUUAUCUUAGACAGUCAUCAAGCUUGGAGCCAUGCUGUUGAACUAGAAAUUCUCCUUUUCCCCAUUCUCCUUUCUGACAGGUAACAAAGGAUUGGUGAAUUAUGAUUUUCCCAAGUUGGAAGCACUAAUUUUUAUCUAUAUAGUUCAUCCUUAUGAAUAUAUAAGGAGUUAAACAUUGCAUAUUUAAUGUGGAUUAUAAUGGGAAACUGACUCAUUAACAAAAAUGGCCACUUAUAAGGACUUGGUUUCAAACUGAGCUGGAGCCUCCCAAUGCACUUUGUACAGUUUGGGGAAAGGUGUACUGAAUGGCCUUCUUUGGGAGGCCAUGAUGACAUGUAGUAAAAGGAUAUCAUCUUACUGUUGAUAUCUUUGAAGACUCGUAAACAGAAACAGAAAAAUGAAUGGUGGAAAGGAGUGUGACGGAGGGGACACGGAUGGAGGGCCACCAGCAGUGCAAGUUCCCGUUGGUUGGCAGCGACGGGUGGACCAAAGCGGAGUGCUCUAUAUCAGUCCCAGUGGGUCUUUAUUAUCCUGCUUGGAGCAGGUGAAGACUUACUUGCUGACUGAUGGAACAUGCAAGUGUGGCCUAGAAUGUCCUCUUGUUCUUCCCAAGGUCUUUAAUUUUGAUCCUGGAGCUGCUGUGAAGCAGAGAACUGCUGAAGAUGUUAAAGCGGACGAAGAUGUCACCAAACUAUGCAUACAUAAAAGGAAAAUUAUUGCUGUGGCUACACUUCAUAAAAGCAUGGAAGCACCACAUCCUUCACUAGUUCUAACUAGUCCUGGUGGUGGAACAAGUGCAACUCCAGUAGUUCCUACUCGAGCAGCAACUCCAAGAUCGAUGAGGAAUAAAUCGCAUGAAGGAAUUACAAAUUCUGUGAUGCCAGAAUGUAAGACUCCUUUCAAGUUGAUGAUAGGGGCAUCUAAUGCCAUGGGUAGGCUUUAUGUGCAAGAAAUGGCUGGAAGCCAGCAACAAGAACUUCAUUCUGUCUAUCCUAGGCAGAGAUUGGGUAGUAAUGAACUUGGACAGAAGUCUCCGUAUCGUGGCAGUCAUGGUGGGAUGCCCAGUCCAGCUUCAUCAGGAUCACAGAUAUACGGAGAUGGCUCAAUCUCUCCUAGGACUGACCCACUUGGAAGCCCUGAUGUUUUCACAAGGAACAAUCCCAAUUUUCAUGGAGCACCCAACUCUAGUCCUAUUCACAUGAACAGGACACCUCUAUCUCCACCAUCAGUAAUGCUACAUGGUUCUCCCAUACAGUCAUCCUGUGCAAUGGCUGGAAGGACUAAUAUACCUCUUUCCCCAACCUUGACCACAAAAAGCCCAGUAAUGAAAAAACCCAUGUGUAAUUUUUCAACUGGUAUGGAAAUACCACGAGCAAUGUUUCACCAUAAACCUCCCCAAGGUCCACCCCCACCGCCUUCUUGUGCUCUUCAGAAAAAGCCAUUAACAUCAGAAAAGGAUCCACUUGGCAUACUUGACCCUAUUCCUAGCAAACCAGUGAAUCAGAAUCCCGUUAUCAUUAACCCAACUACUUUCCAUUCAAAUGUCCACUCUCAGGUACCCGUGAUGAAUGUAAGCAUGCCUCCUGCUGUCGUCCCUUUGCCAAGUAAUCUUCCUUUGCCAACUGUAAAACCUGGUCACAUGAAUCAUGGAAGUCAUGUUCAAAGAGUUCAGCAUUCUGCUUCAACUUCCCUCUCUCCUUCACCAGUGACGUCCCCAGUGCAUAUGAUGGGAUCCGGGAUUGGAAGGAUCGAGGCUUCUCCCCAAAGAUCACGCUCUUCUUCCACGUCAUCAGAUCAUGGAAAUUUCCUGCUGCCUCCAGUAGGACCACAGUCAUCCUGUAGUGGUAUUAAAGUUCCUCCCAGGUCCCCAAGGUCAACAAUAGGGUCACCGAGACCAUCUAUGCCAUCUAGCCCUUCCACCAAGCAUGAUGGACUUAAUCAAUACAAGGACAUCCCUAACCCAUUAAUUGCUGGAAUGAGUAAUGUAUUAAAUCCUCCAAACAAUGCAGUUUUUUCUACUGCAUCGGCUGGAAGUGGUUCCUUGAAGAGUCAGCCUGGUUUGCUGGGAAUGCCUUUAAAUCAGAUCUUGAACCAGCACAAUGCUGCCUCUUUUCCAGCAAGUAGUUUACUCUCAGCAGCAGCCAAAGCACAGCUAGCAAAUCAAAAUAAACUUGCUGGUAACAACAAUAACAGCAGUAGCAAUUCUGGACCUGUUGCCAGCGGUGGCAACAACGAAGGACAUAGCACUUUAAAUACCAUGUUCCCUCCUGCUGCCAAUGUGCUUCUACCAACGACUGAAGGGCAAAGUGGCCGAGCAGCACUGAGAGAUAAAUUGAUGUCUCAGCAAAAAGAUCCUCUGAGGAAAAGAAAGCAGCCGACCACCACGGUGUUGAGUUUGCUGAGACAGUCUCAGUUGGACAGUUCUGGAGUUUCCAAAGCUGGAUCUGAUUUGAUAAGAAAGCAAAGUCAAAGCUCUUUUCCCAUCAGUUCUAUGUCCCAGCUACUUCAGUCCAUGAGUUGUCAAAGCUCUCACAUGAGCAGCAAUAGUACCACCAGUUGUGGGAGCUCAAAUACUGCUUUACCUUGCUCUGGUAACCAGAUGCAUUUUGCAGACACCAGUAUGAACUCUGGCAGUCUCCAGAACUCGCUGGCACAGAGUUUACCCUUGCGAGGGGAAGGUGUGCACUGCCAGAACACAAACACUAACUUUGUCCACGGUACUAGCCCGGGCACAACCAACCAUCUUGCAGGUUUAAUAAAUCAGAUGCAGGCUAGCGGGAACUGUGGGAUGCUCAGUCAGUCAGGAAUGGCAUUAGGAAAUUCAUUACAUCCGAACCCACCUCAGUCGAGAAUCCAGGCAUCCUCCACUCCAGUGAUACCAAACAGCAUUGUUAGCAGCUGUAAUCAAACAAGUCCUGAAGCAGGGGGUUCAGGACCGUCAUCAUCAAUAGCCAUAGCUGGCACCAGCCAACCGGCCAUCACAAAGACAACAUCUGUGCUUCAAGAUGGUGUUAUAGUCACUACUGCAGCUGGAAACCCACUUCAGAGCCAGCUGCCCAUUGGGAGCGAUUUCCCUUUUGCUGGCCACGAACACUCGCUUCAUUUUCCGCAGAACAGCUCUUCAAACAACAAUCUUCCACAUUCUUUGAAUCAAAACCUCCUCAAUUCUCUACCUAUCUCUUUGCCAGUGAAUCAGCAACAUCUCCUAAACCAGAAUCUAUUAAAUAUACUACAGCCUUCAGCAGGAGAAGGCAAGUCUGAGGUCAACCUCAACCCUUUAGGUUUUCUCAACCCGAAUGUAAAUGCUGCUUUAGCUUUUCUCUCCAGUGACGUGGAUGGGCAGGUAUUACAACCUGUUCAUUUUCAGCUUCUAGCAACCCUCCUUCAGAACCAAGCCCAAGCAGCUGCCAUGCUUCCCCUACCAUCUUUCAAUCUGACCAUCUCAGAUUUGCUGCAACAGCAAAAUAACCCUUUACCCUCAGUAACCCAGAUGACAGCCCCACCUGACCAUUUGCCAAGCAAUCAGUCAGAAAGCAACAGGGUGGAGACCCUUUUAACCAACCCCCUGGGCAACCCCAUACCCAGCUUUUCAGGCACUGACACUACUUCUAACCCCCUGCUCCUCCCAGCUGUCUCUGGGGCCUCAGCAUUAAUGGCCUUGAAUCCCCAGCUGGUGGGAGGUGUCCUGAACUCUGCAUCGGGCAACACCGCUAAUCAUCCAGAGGUUUCCAUAGCCACCUCCUCCCAAGCAACCACUACCACAACCACUACAUCAUCAGCAGUGGCAGCACUGUCUGUCUCAACCCUGGGUGGUGGGACAGCAGUGGUGUCAAUGGCAGAAACAUUGCUGAACAUAUCUAAUAAUGCUGGGAAUACAUCUGGUCCAGCUAAACUCAACAAUAACUCUGUGGUGCCACAGCUACUUAACCCUCUACUGGGGACAGGUCUGCUUGGUGACAUGUCAUCUAUAAACACUGCUUUGAAUAACCAUCAGCUGAGUCAUCUCCAGUCGCUAUUAAACAACAAUCAGAUGUUUCCUUCAAAUCAGCAGCAACAGCACCUUCUCCAGGGGUACCAGAACAUGCAGAGCUUUCAAGGCCAGCCCCCAAUUCCUGGCCCAGCUAACAACCCAAACCCCAUGGCAUGUCUGUUCCAAAAUUUCCAGGUGAGAAUGCAGGAAGAUGCUGCUGUCCUAAACAAAAGAAUGAUCACUCAAAUGGGAAUGGCACCAGUUCCUGAGAGCUCCAACACUAUGCUUCCUCCUUUCCAAGAAACAUCUUGUGAUUUGCAGCAAAGAACUGAACCAUCUCUUGGACAACAGGCAAAGGAUAACCUCAAUGUCGCUGCUCAGGGUGAUACAUCGGUGGACGCUAUCUACAAAGCAGUUGUAGAUGCUGCAAGCAAAGGAAUGCAAGUAGUAAUCACCACUGCCGUUAGCAGUACAACACAAAUGAGUCCCAUUCCAGCUUUGAGUGCCAUGAGUGCCUUCACAGCCUCAAUUGGUGACCCAUUAAAUCUUUCUAGUGCUGUCAGUGCAGUAAUCCAUGGAAGAAACAUUGCCGUUUCUGAUCAUGAAGGUAGGAUAAGGAACACUAGAGGAACACGAAUACUGAAGAAUUCAGAGCACGGUAAAAAUUUGAGUGAAGGGGAUGGGUAUGAAUAUUACAAAUCAACAAGUUGUAACACACCCAAAAAACAGUGGGAAGGGGAGCAAAGUCCCGUCAGUGAGAUAAAUAGAUGGAAAUGUGAUGAGUUUCUAGACCACUCUACCCAUAUCCAUAGUAGUCCUUGUCACGAAAGGCCCAAUAACAUCUCCACACUGCCAUUACUACAAGGCGAGCAGCAUCAGUUACUGUUAUCACAGCGAAACUGUCAAAGUGAUAAAAUGUUGGAGGAGAAUUUCAGGUAUAACAAUUACAAAAGAACUAUGAUGAGUUUUAAGGAAAGACUGGAGAACACUGUGGAACGUUGUGCACACAUAAAUGGAAAUAGGCCUCAGCAGAACAGAGGAUUUGGGGAGUUGCUGAACACUUCUAAACAAGACCUGAUUCUGGAAGAGCAAUCUCCAAGUUCCUCAAAUAGCUUGGAAAGUUCGUUAGUUAAAGACUAUAUCCAUUACAAUGGAGAUUUUAAUGCCAAAAGCAUUAAUGGGUGUGUGCCUAGCCCUUCAGAUGCUAAAAGCAUCAGUAGCGAAGAUGACCUAAGGAACCCAGAUUCCCCUUCUUCAAAUGAGCUGAUACAUUACAGGCCGAGGACGUUUAAUGUUGGCGACUUGGUCUGGGGCCAAAUCAAAGGACUGACUUCGUGGCCUGGAAAACUAGUAAGAGAAGAAGAAGUUCACAAUUCAUGUCAACAAAACGCUGAGGAGGGGAAGGUCUGGGUAAUGUGGUUUGGUGUUCAUACCUUCACUCAGGUGGAGCCAGAGAAGUUGAAGACACUAACAGAAGGUCUAGAAGCUUACAACCGAGCCAGAAAAAGGAACAGAAAAAGUGGAAAGCUAAAUAACCAUUUAGAAGCUGCUAUACACGAGGCCAUGAGUGAACUAGACAAAAUGUCUGGGAAUGUCCACCAAAUCCCACAGGGAGACAGACAAGUGAAGCCUCCAAAACCCAAGAGGAGGAAGAUCUCUAGAUAACAUUGAAUGUCUUUGUUACUGGUCCAGUACUUAUCAAAAUGAACGUGCACAUAAGUCUAUAUCUAAGGACUGGCAGUGAUCAGCAUCCCGGGAAGCUGGCGGUAUCGCCGCUCUCCAGAUACCCGGCGCCAGGAUCACAAGUCCUUGCUCCUCUUCCCAUCCGCCUUGCCCAAGUCCCAAACUCCUCUCUCCGAAGGACAUGACCGAGACCAGCUGUCCCCGAGGACGACGGGACCCGGCGGCUUUCCCAGCCUCGGCUCUCGCGUGCCAGAGCACGCAGCACUACCUCUGGGCUCGCCCCUGGGCUUUCUCAUGUCCGGCAAAACGGCUCUCGUCCCUCCUUCCCCCCCAGCCCGAGGGAUCGCAAUAGCUACACUGGCUACAGGGGCCUGGAGGCAGGAGCCCUUCCUUCCGCGGGUUUGCCUGCUGUGCCCUCCGUGAAGGUCACAUCAUCGGGUGCCACGUCCGACGGGUAAGUUGAGGAAGCCGAUGGUUCUUGAAGCUUUUGCUCACACAACCCAGGACCUGCUCAUCCAAGUCAAAACAGAUCCGCUCUGUUAACACAGCCCUCAGUCCCCUCCCUCUCUCUGCUGUUUUUACCAGUUCUAGCUGAGCAACUCGACCUUCGUGUUUCAGGAUUCCCCCAAAAAUACCAUUUAUCCAGCGGUUUAAGCACGUUACUGAUGUACAAAAUCCCAAACGUGUCGACAGAUCGUUUGGUUCCAAAUUCACUGCAAGCAUAGUUCACGCUGGUGUCGAAUCGACUCUAGAAAAACACUUUGAGGCUUCCAA